AGAGUUUGAUCCUGGCUCAGAACGAACGCUGGCGGCAGUAACACAUGCAAGUCGAACGCACCUUCGGGUGAGUGGCAGACGGGUGAGUAACGCGUGGGAACGUGCCCUUCAGUUCGGAAUAACCCAGGGAAACUUGGGCUAAUACCGGAUACGUGCGAGAGCAGAAAGAUUUAUCGCUGAAGGAUCGGCCCGCGUCUGAUUAGCUAGUUGGUGGGGUAAUGGCCCACCAAGGCGACGAUCAGUAGCUGGUCUGAGAGGAUGAUCAGCCACAUUGGGACUGAGACACGGCCCAAACUCCUACGGGAGGCAGCAGUGGGGAAUAUUGGACAAUGGGCGCAAGCCUGAUCCAGCCAUGCCGCGUGAGUGAUGAAGGCCUUAGGGUUGUAAAGCUCUUUCGGCGGGGACGAUAAUGACGGUACCCGCAGAAGAAGCCCCGGCUAACUUCGUGCCAGCAGCCGCGGUAAUACGAAGGGGGCUAGCGUUGUUCGGAAUCACUGGGCGUAAAGGGCGCGUAGGCGGCUUGAUAAGUCGGGGGUGAAAGCCUGUGGCUCAACCACAGAAUUGCCUUCGAUACUGUCUGGCUUGAGACCGGAAGAGGUAGGUGGAACUGCGAGUGUAGAGGUGAAAUUCGUAGAUAUUCGCAAGAACACCAGUGGCGAAGGCGGCUUACUGGUCCGGUUCUGACGCUGAGGCGCGAAAGCGUGGGGAGCAAACAGGAUUAGAUACCCUAGUAGUCC
rnacentral:rRNA from 1 species